UGUGGCUCAGUGGUAGAGCACUUGCCUAGCAUGUUAGAAGCCCUGGGUUCAAUCCUCAGCA
rnacentral:tRNA from 1 species